CAACAUACUUACAUGUUAAAAAGCAUUUGUUGAACUGUUCAAUUAAGUAAUUACAUGGAAACAAUAUAAAGUGCAAAUUGAACUUGACCUCAAUUUUGUCAUCAGUAACACACUAUAUCAAAAUUUGAAUAGCACAGGUUGAAUUAUUCAUAAUUUAUUGCAAUGAAACAAUUGCAACCUAAAGCCAACUGACCUCCCGCACGCCUGUCGCCA
rnacentral:lncRNA from 1 species